rnacentral:rRNA from 1 species
GAUGAACGCUGGCGGCGUGCCUAAUACAUGCAAGUCGAGCGAACGGACGAGACGCUUGCUUCUCUGUUGUUAGCGGCAGACGGGUGAGUAACACGUGGAACACCUACCUAUCAUUCUGGGAAAAUUUCGGGAAACCGGAGCUAAUACCGGAUAAUAUUCUGAACCGCAUGGGUCAAAAGUGAAAGACGGUCUUGCUGUCACUUAUAGAUGGAUCCGCGCUGGAUUAGCUAGUUGGUAAGGUCACGGCUUACCAAGGCAACGAUGCAUAGCCGACGGGUGAGAGGGAUAGCCCACACUGGAGGGUAGACACGGUCAAGAGGCCUGAGGGACGGAGCAGUAGGGAAUGUUCGGCAAUAGUCGAGAGCAUGACGGAGCAAGGCGGCGCGAGUUAUGGAAGUCUUCGGUGCGUGAAGCCCGGUUAUUAGUGAAAAACAGAUGUGUAAGGAACUGUGCACUUCUUGACGGUAACUGAUAAAAAAGCAACGGCUAACUACGUG